UUUAUGGAGAGUUUGAUCCUGGCUCAGGAUGAACGCUGGCGGCGUGCCUAAUACAUGCAAGUCGAGCGAACAGACGAGGAGCUUGCUYCUCUGACGUUAGCGGCGGACGGGUGAGUAACACGUGGAUAACCUACCUAUAAGACUGGGAUAACUUCGGGAAACCGGAGCUAAUACCGGAUAAUAUAUUGAACCGCAUGGUUCAAUAGUGAAAGACGGUUUUGCUGUCACUUAUAGAUGGAUCCGCGCCGCAUUAGCUAGUUGGUAAGGUAACGGCUUACCAAGGCAACGAUGCGUAGCCGACCUGAGAGGGUGAUCGGCCACACUGGAACUGAGACACGGUCCAGACUCCUACGGGAGGCAGCAGUAGGGAAUCUUCCGCAAUGGGCG
rnacentral:rRNA from 1 species